rnacentral:rRNA from 1 species
ACCGCCCGUCGCUUCAUCGAAGUUGGUUUUAGGCGAGGUGGUGCGAUAUUGGCAUUAUCGAACCUGAGAUCAGCAACGAGGAG